rnacentral:rRNA from 1 species
CCUACGGGAGGCAGCAGUGGGGAAUUUUGGACAAUGGGGGCAACCCUGAUCCAGCAAUGCCGCGUGAGUGAAGAAGGCCUUCGGGUUGUAAAGCUCUUUUGUCAGGGAAGAAACGGUGAUCUCUAAUACAGAUUACUAAUGACGGUACCUGAAGAAUAAGCACCGGCUAACUACGUGCCAGCAGCCGCGGUAAUACGUAGGGUGCAAGCGUUAAUCGGAAUUACUGGGCGUAAAGCGUGCGCAGGCGGUUAUAUAAGUCAGAUGUGAAAUCCCCGGGCUCAACCUGGGAACUGCAUUUGAGACUGUAUGGCUAGAGUGUGUCAGAGGGGGGUAGAAUUCCACGUGUAGCAGUGAAAUGCGUAGAUAUGUGGAGGAAUACCGAUGGCGAAGGCAGCCCCCUGGGAUAACACUGACGCUCAUGCACGAAAGCGUGGGGAGCAAACAGGAUUAGAUACCCUGGUAGUCCACGCCCUAAACGAUGUCUACUAGUUGUCGGGUCUUAAUUGACUUGGUAACGCAGCUAACGCGUGAAGUAGACCGCCUGGGGGNGGUACGGUCGCGAGAUAAACUACGAAAGAAGUAGAGCGUGAGACGUAGACCGACGGACGACGACGAGGGGAGGAGG